rnacentral:rRNA from 1 species
UUAAAAAGAUAUCUGUUAAUCAGUUUGAUUUGAAACAAUAAUUUUAUUAGUAAUUUAAUUUUUUUUAAUUUUUAAUAGAAAUAGGUUUGAAUUUAUUAUUUUUAAUGAAAAAUUUGAUUUAAUGAUAGUUUAUAGUAUUGUGAAAGAAAUUUUUAAUAAUUUAAAAGAAAAAUUUAUUUUUUGUACCUUGUGUAUCAGGGUUUAUUAAUAAUUAUUUUAAUAUUAAAUAUUCUCGAAUUUAAAAGAGCUAAAGAUUUAAAAUUUUUAUUGUGGAAUAAUUAUUUUAAAUAAAUUUUUAGUAAUGAAAUGUUAUUCGUUUUUAAAUAUAUCUAGUUUUUAAAGAAAUAAAUUAAAAUUAUUUUUUAAAAAUAUUUUAUUAAGUAAUUAAUUUAAUAUUAUUAAAAAAUAAAAUUUUUAGGGAUGAGCUUAAAAAUUAAUUAUUAAUAAUAAUUUUUAAGUUAAAAUAUUUUAGGAUUGUAAAUUUUCAUAAUUUUAAGUAUGUUAUAAUUUAUUUUUAAUUAUAUUAUGAUUUAUAUUUAUUAUAAAUUUUUUAUUUAAAUAUAUUUUUCAAUAAUUUAAAAUUAGAAAUAAUGAUAGAAUUAGUAUAAUUUUUUAUAAAAAUAUAAAAAAUUUUUAGGUUUAUAAAAGGAAUUCGGCAAAAUUAUUUUUCACCUGUUUAUUAAAAACAUGUCCUUUUGUAAAAGAUUUAAGGUCUAGCCUGCCCACUGAAAUAAUUUAAAUGGCCGCGGUAUUUUGACCGUGCUAAGGUAGCAUAAUCAUUAGUUUUUUAAUUGAAAGCUGGAAUGAAGGGUUGAAUGAAAAAAUAGCUGUCUCUUAUAAAUUUUAUUAGAAUUUUAUUUUUAGGUUAAAAAGCUUAAAUAAAUUUAAAAGACGAGAAGACCCUAUAGAGUUUUAUAUAAUGAUUAUAAUAUAGGUGAAGUAUUUAAGUAGUACUAUAAUUAUUAUAUUUAAUUGGGGUGAUUGAAAAAUUAAAUUAACUUUUUUUUUAUAAAUAUAUAAAUUAAUAGAUUUUUGAUCCAAUAUUUUUGAUUAUAAGAAUAAAUUACCUUAGGGAUAACAGCGUAAUUUUAUUGAAGAGUUCUUAUCGAUAAUAAAGAUUGCGACCUCGAUGUUGGAUUAAAAUUUAUUUUUGGUGUAGCGGCUAAAAAAUUUAAGUCUGUUCGACUUUUAAAAUUUUACAUGAUCUGAGUUUAAACCGGUGUAAGCCAGGUUGGUUUCUAUCUUUAAAUGGUUAAUUUAUUUUAGUACGAAAGGACCAGAUAA